rnacentral:tRNA from 1 species
GCCAAUGUAGCUCAGGUGAUAGAGCACGCCACUUGUAAUGGCGAUGUCGUAGGUUUGACCCCUACCAUUGGCUCCA